UUUUUUUUUUUUUGAGACCAGCGCCACUAUGCUAGGCAUUAAACAAAUCAUUUGUGCUGUGCAGCUGAGACCUGCUCCCUUGGGAAAUCAGACUAACACCUUUGCAACAUCAUCAACCCCUGCCAAGGCAAUGUACAAGAAGUCAAGGCUGACUUAAAACCAGUCUGCACAGAUUCACUAUCUGGAAGACGUUGAACCACUGCCCUAGAAUGUUGGCAUGUACAUAGACGUGACCUCAGAACAGUCUGCUGGUAGUAGGUCCCUUAAGAACAUCAUAUUCGAAUUAAUCUUUUAAUUAAUAAUAAACAGACUAUGAACAUUUUUUAAAUGCCUGAUAUAUUCCACGAGGAGCUGAAAUAUUUAUCUUCUCUACUAUAGCCACCAUUCUGUAUGUGUCCACUGUCUGAGCAUACAUUACAUUGGGCCAAGGAAGCAUUUUAAAGAGGUAAAAUUAUACAUGAGUCCUAGUAAUUAAAAUAUUAUAUCUGAAGAUUUUGACUAUAGAUUUUUAAAUACAGCACACAUUCUCCUUAAAUAUCUAUGAGCUAUAAUCCUAUUUUAGAUAUUUGUUUUUCUUUGUUACAGAUGCACAACUGUCUUUUCCAUUGGUGGCACACCCUAAAACCAAGACAAUUUAUAAACCACAAUGGAUUAAAACCAAAUGACAGAUCUAGGGAAUCAUCUUUUUUCCCCAUUGCAAAAUGUAUUAAAAAGUUAGGAGCACCUUUGAGGAUAUACACAUUCAAGAAAACCAAAAUGAAUCUACAGGUUUACCAUAAUCAUCUAUUAAUAUAUUGAUGAUUCCUUAAUUUACAUGGAAAACAAAAUUAAUUUUAUGGAUUAUAAUAGACAAACUGGGCAUCUGGCUGUACGACUGCAGGGUAGAAUGCAAACCUGAGAUCUGUCAGCCAUAAAGUGAUCAAUAAUUAAAAUGGAGUUCACCUCCAUCCUGUAAUUUUAAAGUAUAAGUACAGGUUUCUCUAAGUUUCCCUAAAAUGUAUGUUCAAGCUAAACAUCUAUACCAUAAUAAUAUUCAUUAGUAAUUAUACCCUGUUGAUUAACGAGCAUUCUGUAAAAUUUAAAGGAGAAAAAAACACACCCACCCACAUAAUUAGGACAUGUGUUUACUUAAUAAUCCUGAAUAUCACUAUGAAAAACACACCACUUCAGUGAAAUCUAAAUGACUGUAUUUAACUGUUUAAAUAUUUUAGCAAUGUAUCCGAGUUGUGAUGAUUUUCCUCCAAGACAGAACACACCCAUUAAUAGACUGGAAAAACAAAAGCAUUCAGAUUCUAGCAGCUUCUUAAAAAUCUAAAGCCAAUCUCUUAAAAAUUCAGCCUAAAGAUCACUUCCUCCCCAGAGCCAGAGAACAAUGAAGAGAACAUGUUGCUUAUUCAUUUCUUACCUUUUUUCCUUUCCUUUUCCUAUGAGCAGGUUUUGCAUUUUUCUCCUUUGGUUCUUCACUCAUCUUUCCUUUAAAUCAGGUGUGUUUAUAAAAGACAGAUCACCGCCGGUAUUCCAACAUCCAAAACCACGACAAAGAGUCAAAGCAUUGAGACCAAAGUCCAUUUACGGGUGCUCCCCAGGCAAAGCAGCCGCUGCUUAAACCC
rnacentral:lncRNA from 1 species